rnacentral:misc_RNA from 1 species
GUGAAUCAUCGAAUUUUUGAACGCAAAUUGCACUCUCUUCUGAUAGGAUGCCUGUUUGAGUUUCAGCCUAAAAAAAAUCGACGUAGUCUCUGUUGCGCGGUCACUGUCUUCUGAAAUUGGGUCAUCUGAAACCUUUGGGUUUUUUAAGCGGCUUAAAAUUUUCGUUUCGAUUCCACAAACGUUUCUAAUAUUUUACUUCUUACACACUUUUAGGUUAUCGAUCUGUAUUAUGCGUUGCUGUUGCAUCGUAUCUC